rnacentral:rRNA from 1 species
CAGCCGCCACGGGAACACGGAGGGUGCAAGCGUUAAUCGGAAUUACUGGGCGUAAAGCGCACGCAGGCGGUCUGACAAGUCAGACGUGAAAUCCCCGGGCUUAACCUGGGAACUGCAUUUGAAACUGUCAGGCUGGAGUCUUGUAGAGGGGGGUAGAAUUCCAGGUGUAGCGGUGAAAUGCGUAGAGAUCUGGAGGAAUACCGGUGGCGAAGGCGGCCCCCUGGACAAAGACUGACGCUCAGGUGCGAAAGCGUGGGGAGCAAACAGGAUUAGAUACCCCGGUAGUCCCUGUCUCUUAUAC